rnacentral:rRNA from 1 species
AACGAACGCUGGCGGCAUGCCUAACACAUGCAAGUCGAACGAGACCUUCGGGUCUAGUGGCGCACGGGUGCGUAACGCGUGGGAACCUGCCCUUAGGUUCGGAAUAACUCCCCGAAAGGGGUGCUAAUACCGGAUAUUGUCUUCGGACCAAAGAUUUAUCGACUUUGGAUGGGCCCGCGUUGGAUUAGCUAGUUGGUAGGGUAAAAGCCUACCAAGGCGACGAUCCAUAGCUGGUCUGAGAGGAUGAUCAGCCACACUGGGACUGAGACACGGCCCAGACUCCUACGGGAGGCAGCAGUGGGGAAUAUUGGACAAUGGGCGAAAGCCUGAUCCAGCAAUGCCGCUUGAGUGAUGAAGGCCUUAGGGUUGUAAAGCUCUUUUACCCGGGAUGAUAAUGACAGUACCGGGAGAAUAAGCUCCGGCUAACUCCGUG